AUGAACGCUGGCGGCGUGCCUAAUACAUGCCAGUCGAGCGAACGGACGAGGAGCUUGCUCCUCUGACGUUAGCGGCGGACGGGUGAGUAACACGUGGAUAACCUACCUAUAAGACUGGGAUAACUUCGGGAAACCGGAGCUAAUACCGGAUAAUAUAUUGAACCGCAUGGUUCAAUAGUGAAAGACGGUUUUGCUGUCACUUAUAGAUGGAUCCGCGCCGCAUUAGCUAGUUGGUAAGGUAACGGCUUACCAAGGCAACGAUGCGUAGCCGACCUGAGAGGGUGAUCGGCCACACUGGAACUGAGACACGGUCCAGACUCCUACGGGAGGCAGCAGUAGGGAAUCUUCCGCAAUGGGCGAAAGCCUGACGGAGCAACGCCGCGUGAGUGAUGAAGGUCUUCGGAUCGUAAAACUCUGUUAUUAGGGAAGAACAAAUGUGUAAGUAACUAUGCACGUCUUGACGGUACCUAAUCAGAAAGCCACGGCUAACUACGUG
rnacentral:rRNA from 1 species